GGUUUGAUGAGGAACUAGGCACGCGAACAAGUAGGCCGGGACACGUGAAAUCCUGGUUGAAGAUGGGUGGACCAUCAUCCAAGGCUAAAUACUACUUACUGACCGAUAGUGAACCAGUACCGUGAGGGAAAGGUGAAAAGAACCCCGGAGAGGGGAGUGAAAUAGAAUCUGAAACCGUUUGCGUACAAGCAGUGGGAGCAUAGUUUAGGCUGUGUGACUGCGUACCUUUUGUAUAAUGGGUCAGCGAGUUACUUUCAGUGGCGAGGUUAACUGAAUAAGGGAGCCGUAGAGAAAUCGAGUCUGAAUAGGGCGAUAGUCGCUGGGAGUAGACCCGAAACCGGGCGAUCUAGCCAUGUGCAGGAUGAAGGUUGGGUAACACCAACUGGAGGUCCGAACCGGGUAAUGUUGAAAAAUUAUCGGAUGACGUGUGGCUAGGAGUGAAAGGCUAAUCAAGCCCGGAGAUAGCUGGUUCUCCCCGAAAGCUAUUUAGGUAGCGCCUCGUGAAUGAUUACUGGGGGUAGAGCACUGUUUCGGCUAGGGGGCUGUCAUGGCUUACCAAACCGAUGCAAACUCCGAAUACCGGCUAAUUGAAUCACGGGAGACACACGGCGGGUGCUAACGUCCGUCGUGGAGAGGGAAACAACCCAGACCGCCAGCUAAGGUCCCCAAGUACUAGUUAAGUGGGAAACGAUGUGGGAAGGCAUAGACAGCCAGGAGGUUGGCUUAGAAGCAGCCACCCUUUAAAGAAAGCGUAAUAGCUCACUGGUCGAGUCGGCCUGCGCGGAAGAUGUAACGGGGCUAAAACUAGUCACCGAAGCUGCGGAUGUGCGCGAAAGCGCACGUGGUAGGGGAGCGUUCUGUAGGCUGAUGAAGGUGCAUUGAGAAGUGUGCUGGAGGUAUCAGAAGUGCGAAUGCUGACAUGAGUAACGAUAAUGUGGGUGAAAAGCCCACACGCCGGAAGUCCCAGGUUUCCUGCACGACGUUAAUCGGAGCAGGGUGAGUCGGCCCCUAAGGCGAGGCUGAAGAGCGUAGUCGAUGGGAACCAGGUUAAUAUUCCUGGACUUUUUAUAAGUGGUGAAGUGGGGACGAAGAAGGCUAGGUGAGCCAGGCGUUGGUUGUCCUGGUACUUGCAUGUAGGGGGGAAGACUUGGCAAAUCCGGUUUUCCAUAACUCUGAGGUGCGAAGUGGUUCUGACCUUUUGGUACAGAGAAGUCAUUGAUGCCCGGCUUCCAGGAAAAGCUGCUAGCCAUAACUUAUAGAGAACCGUACCGCAAACCGACACAGGUGGACAGGUAGAGAAUACUAAGGCGCUUGAGAGAACUCGGGUGAAGGAACUAGGCAAAAUGGUACCGU
rnacentral:rRNA from 1 species